rnacentral:rRNA from 1 species
AUUGAACGCUGGCGGAAUGCUUGAAAAAGGAAAGUCGAACGGAAGUAGGGGGGCAAUUUUGGUGGUGAGUGGUGAACGGGUGAGUAAUAUAUCGGAACGUGAUUGGUCGUGGGGGAUAACGUAGUGAAAGUUAUGCUAAUACCGCAUACGAUCUGAGGAUGAAAGCGGGGGACCUUAGGGCCUCGCGCGAUCGGAGCGGCCGAUGUCAGAUUAGGUAGUUGGUGGGGUAAAGGCCUACCAAGCCGACGAUCUGUAGCUGGUCUGAGAGGACGACCAGCCACACUGGGACUGAGACACGGCCCAGACUCCUACGGGAGGCAGCAGUGGGGAAUUUUGGACAAUGUGCGCAAGCCUGAUCCAGCCAUGCCGCGUGCAGGACGAAGGCCUUCGGGUUAUAAUCUCCUUUUUUAUCGAACGAAAAGGCUCUGGCUAAUACCUGGGGCUCAUGACGGUACCGUAAGAAUAAGCACCAACUAACUACGUG